rnacentral:rRNA from 1 species
AACGAACGCUGGCGGCAUGCCUAACACAUGCAAGUCGAACGCGUGUAGCAAUACACGAGUGGCGGACGGGUGAGUAACGCGUGGGAACCUGCCCAAUGGUAGGGAAUAACUGCGGGAAACUGCAGCUAAUACCCUAUGCUCCCUACGGGGGAAGAUUUAUCGCCAUUGGAGGGCCCGCGUCGGAUUAGCUAGUUGGUAAGGUAACGGCUUACCAAGGCUACGAUCUGUAUCCGGCUAAGAGGACGGUCGGACACACUGACACUGAAUAACGGGUCAGACUCCUACGGGAGGCAGCAGUCGGGAAUUUUGGGCAAUGGGCGAAAGCCUGACCCAGCAACGCCGCGUGAAGGAUGAAGUAUUUCGGUAUGUAAACUUCGAAAGAAUAGGAAGAAUAAAUGACGGUACUAUUUAUAAGGUACCGGCUAACUACGUAGCCA